rnacentral:rRNA from 1 species
UUUUUUUAUUAUAAAAGUAUCUGAAUAAAAUAUUUUUAUAUAAAUAUUUUUUUUAAUAACUUAAGGAAUUGAAUCAUCUUAGUACUUAAAGGAAAAUAAAGUAAUAACGAUUUUCAUAGUAGUGGUGAACGAAUUGAAAUAUUUUUAAACAUUAAUUAUGUAAAAUUUUAAAUAAGUAAUAUAAUAAUAUAUUUUAUAUGAAUAUAAUUAUAUAUAAUAUUAAGAAUCAUCUUAUAAAAUUUAAUAUAAUAAAAGUUUAUAGAGAAAUAGUACCGUGAGGGAAAGAUGAAAAGAAUUUUGAAAAAAUAGUGAAAAGAACCUGAAUUUUAAAUUUAAAAAUUUAUAAUAAAAUUAAAUUAAAUUUUAUUAUAUUCUUGUUGAAGAAAGAAUUAGCAAGUUAUAAUAAGUAGUAUAUUGAUUAGGUUAAAUGGAUAUUUAAAUGAAGCCAAAGUUAAAUCGAGUUUAUUAGGAUAAUAAACAUAAAAUUAUAUUAUUUAUUAUAGACCCGAAAUCAAAUGAUCUAAUUAUAUUUAAAAUAAGAUUUAAAUAAUAUUAAAUUUAAGUUUGAAUUGGUUACUGUUGCAAAAGUAUCAAAUAAAAUAUAAUUAGCGGUGAAAUGCCAAUCGAAUUUGAAUAUAGCUGGUUCUCUUUGAAAUAUAUGUAAGUAUAGUAUUUGUAUAUAAAUAAAUGUAAAACUCUUUUUUAAUUAAGUUAAUUUUAAUAAUUAAUAUUAAUAUUAAUAAUUUAAGAAUUUUAUUUAAUAAAAUAUAUAUUUUAUUAGAAUAUAAAGGAUAAGCUUUAUUUUCAAAAGGGAAACAGCCCUAAUUAUAAAUUAAGAUUUUUAAAUAUUAAUUAAGUUUUAAAAAGAAUGUAAAAUUAUUUUUAUAAUUAAAAAGUAAAUUUAGAAGCAGUUAUCUUUUAAAGAGUGCGUAAAAGCUCAUUAAUUUAAUAAUUUUAAUUCUAAAAUAAUCGAAAAUAAAUUAAUUAUCGAUAUUAUAAAAUUUAAUAUAAAUAGUUAAAUUGGUAAAAGAGCGUUUUGAUAAUAUUUAUUUAUAUGAAAAUUAAAAUAAUAAAAUCAAAAGUGAUAAUGCUAAUUUGAGUAAUGUAAAUAUUGGUAAAAAUCCAAUACUUCUAUAAUUUAAGGGUUCCUAUUUAUAAUUUUUUUAAAUAGGGUUAGUCGAAUCUUAAGAUGAGAUGAAAUGUGUAAUCGAUAGUAAAUAAGUUAAUAUUCUUAUACUAUAUAAUAAUAUAUAUUUUAAAACUAAUAUAAUUAUUAAAUAUUAUAUUAUAAAAAAAUUAUUAUUAUAUAUUUAUUAUUAUAUAUUCGUACCGUAAACUGACACUAGUAAAUAUGUAUAUAUUAUUAAGAAGUUGAGAUAAUUUUUUUUAAGGAACUCGGCAAAUUUAUCUUGUAACUUAGGGAGAAAAGAUACUUAUUUAGUUGAAAAUAAAAAAUUUAAGCGACUGUUUAACAAAAACACAAAUCUUUGCUAAAUUGAAAAAUGAAGUAUAAAGAUUGACAUCUGCCCAGUGCUAUUAUGUAAAAAUAAUAUAUAUAAUAUAAAAUUAUAAUAUAUAUAUAAGCUAUAGUAAACGGCGGCUGUAUCUAUAACGGUCCAAAGGUAGCGAAAUUCCUUGUCGGGUAAGUUCCGACCUGCAUGA